rnacentral:rRNA from 1 species
UACCACUUCCAAGGAAGGCAGCAGGCGCGCAAAUUACCCUAAUCUCGAUACGAGGAGGUAGUGACAAGAAAUACCGAUGCGGGACCCUCGCGGGUACCGCAUUCGGAAUGAGUACGAUUCAAACCACCUAACGAGGAACGAUCGGAGGGCAAGUCUGGUGAACGGUGCACCGCGGGUGCAUCGCUCCGUACGGGGAUGGCCGUUGGCCCGCGAGCGAGCCCCCGCGAGGGCACGGGGGAAGGGCCGCAGUUCGAGGGCAUCUGUUCGCGGAUGGCCCUCGUUCGCGCGGUCUGCCCAUGAAUCUCCAUGGGACCCCGCUGCCCCGAGGGAAUCGCGGGGAAUGGCGAGCGGUGGAUUCCAUGGGAAUGAAGGGGACGGGGGUAAUGCCCAUCUCUCGAUUGCCCAUGGUUUUCAUCCAUACAUCUCCGUGGGAAGGGCGUGGACGAGGGGGACCGUAAGGGUCCGCCCAUUCGGGUAUUCUCUGGCGCCAGAAGUAGGGGGUCCUCCGAACGACUGCCCAUGUAUACAUAUCAAUAUAUGUAUAUGUGAGAAUGAGUGCAUGUAGGUCUCCCAUGCACCGCCCCUAGUCGAGGCCCGUGGGACGUUGGUCUGGCGACCAUUGAUGGGCGUCCCGGGCACCGCCCGUGAACGGGGGUGCCCAGGGUCCGGCGACACGACCUGGAACGAGGGAGGCCCCUGACGGCACUAGGGGGCCAAUCUCGUGGCGAGCCGGAGUAGCGCCCGGCCGUCGUAAUGUGCGGGAAGGCGUGGGUCCGUUGUACGCGGGGAUCCCGCGACAAGGGCUUGAGGAACGUACUGCGCCCCCCGAAAGGGAGCCCCGGCGGGCGAGCGCCAUCACGUGAGCCACCGGGGGGCCCGUGGGGAAGGGGGCCUGCGGAGGAGGGACUGCCUUGCAGCGGGCGGGUCGGACUCCUCGGGUACCCGCCCUUCGGGCCGGACACGUUGGGGGAUCCCCACGAAAUCCGUCGUGGGGACCGCCACUUGCGGCCAGCAGCCGCGGUAAUUCCAGCUCCGAAGGCGUAUGUUAGAGUUGCUGCAGUUAAAAAGCUCGUAGUUGAGUUGCGGGGCCCGUCGGCCGUGGCCACCCCCCUCCGGGGGGGCGCGCUCGCGCGUCCGGCGGUCUCCUACUGAUCCGGAACGGCCGUCCGAGGGUCCCUCCUCCGGGGGGGUUCCCGAGGUCGCGUCGCCGGACCUCUUACCUUGAAGAAAUCAGGGCGUUCAAGGCGGGCUCACUCGCCGCGAAUGCAUUAGCACGGGAUAACGGAACAAGGCUUCGGGCCGAGUUCGUCGGUUGGUUCUUUCGAAGCCCGUCCCCUCGGGGGCGGGAUCCGGGGGUUCCGCCUCGGACCGAAGUACAUGAUUGAUAGGGACGGUCGGGGCCGAUUGCACCGGGCGGCGAGGGGUGAAAUCCUAGGACCCUCCCGAGGCAAACGGGUGCGAAGGCGUUCGGCAAGGACGUUUUCGUUAAUCAAGAACGAAAGUUGGGGGAGCGAAGACGAUCAGAUACCGUCGUAGUCUCGACCGUAAACGAUGCCGACCGGGGGCCCGCAAACGUUACGCAGUACGACUCUGCGGGCCCCCCCACCCGAGAAAUCUCGAGUAUUCGGGUUCCGGGGGGAGUACGGUCGCAAGGCUGAAACUUAAAGGAAUUGACGGAAGGGCACCACCAGGAGUGGAACCUGCGG